rnacentral:lncRNA from 1 species
AUCCCUAGUGGAACUAUGUACGGCAUAGGCACCUCCAGCAAACUUGGCGGCCCUUGUUUUCUUCUUCGUUGGUUUUGUUUGAAGAAAACAACUACAUGCAUCGUUCAACUGUUCAAGGUAUCAAGACAAGAAGAUCCUUAUUCAAUUCGGGUCAGACAGCAUGUUCGUCUCUGCGGCUCUUUUGUCUCUCACUCUCUGCUGCAUGCAAAGUCCACCCAGGCGGCCAGGCCAAGGUAUUGGUAAACUUGCAAAAACAUUCUCUACAAUAAGCAUACAAAAAUUAGAUAAUAUAAUAUUUUCUCAUUCCAAAUUAUAAGUGGAAUGCUUUUCUCAUUUCAAAACACACCUUACAAUUUGGUUUGGUGGGAGUAUAAUAUAAGCAGUAUAAUAUAUUCUGUAUUUUCUGUUUUAAUAAAAUUAAUAUAUUUCUGGUUAGUUCACCCCAAAAAGCAAAAAGUUUUCAAGAUUUCCCGUCACAUCGAAUCUUGUGGCACAUGCAUGAAACAUUAAAUAUAGACAAAAGCUAAAACUAAUUACACAGUUUAACUGGAAAUCGCGAUACGAAUCUUUUGAUCCUAGUUAGUCCAUAAUUAAAUAAUAUUUGUCACAAACAAACGAAAAUGCUACAGUACCGAAAUCCGAAAUCUUUUCGGAACUAAACAAGGCCCUAUUUGGCAGAGCUCCACCACUUGAAAAAGUGAAUAUGGAUCCCUGAUUUACCUGGAUCCACCAUGGAUCUGAUAUUCGUAAAAGUGUUUGAUACAGCUUUACCUCCCUCUCUAUGUCACUUCCACAUGGGCCCCAAGUGUCAGGGGGUAAAAUAAAAAAAUGAAAAAAAGACUUUUCUUCUUCCUCCCUCUUGCAUGUGCAGGAAGGGUAGGUGCUCGUGACUGGCGGCACUGGGCCGGUGCGGGCAUGGCUCGGAGGGGCGCGUAGGAUGGUCGAAGCUCCCGCGAGGAGCUUGCGCGCAGGACGGAAGGAGACAAGCACGCGCCCGUGGUUAGGGUCC